rnacentral:rRNA from 1 species
GCGCAGGCGGGGGAUUAGGUCGGCGGUGAAAUAUCACGGGCUCAACCUUGAGAGUGCCGUCGAAACCGGUUUUCUUGAGUGCGGAUGAAGUAGGCGGAAUUUGUGGUGUAGCGGUGAAAUGCGUAGAUAUCACAAAGAACACCGAUUGCGGAGGCAGCUUACUAAACCGCAACUGACGCUCAUGCACGAAGGCGUGGGGAUCAAACAGGAUUAGAUACCCUGGUAGUCCACGCAGUAAACGAUGAUUACUAGCUGUUUGCGAUACAAUGUAAGCGGCUGAGCGAAAGCGUUAAGUAAUCCACCUGGGGAGUACGUUCGCAAGAAUGAAACUCAAAGGAAUUGACGGGGGCCCGCACAAGCGGAGGAACAUGCGGUUUAAUUCGAUGAUACGCGAGGAACCUUACCCGGGCUUGAAAUGCAUCUGACCGGGCCGGAAACGGUCUUUCCCAGCGAUGGGCAGAUGUGUAGGUGCUGCAUGGUUGUCGUCAGCUCGUGCCGUGAGGUGUCGGCUUAAGUGCCAUAACGAGCGCAACCCUCAUCGUCAGUUACCAUCGGGUAAAGCCGGGGACUCUGACGAGACUGCCAUCGUAAGAUGCGAGGAAGGUGGGGAUGACGUCAAAUCAGCACGGCCCUUAUGUCCGGGGCGACACACGUGUUACAAUGGGCGGUACAGCGGGGAGCUACCUGGCGACAGGGAGCCGAUCCCGAAAGCCGCUCACAGUUCGGAUCGGAGUCUGCAACUCGACUCCGUGAAGUCGGAUUCGCUAGUAAUCGCGCAUCAGCCACGGCGCGGUGAAUACGUUCCCGGGCCUUGUACACACCGCCCGUCAAGCCAUGGGAGUCGGGGGUACCUGAAGUUCGUAACCCUUCGGGG